ACAGUGGUACGAACUAUACCAUCACAGUGAGAGCUGGUAAUGUACUAGGAGCAUCAAAUUCAAGUAUCAUAUCAGCUAAGACAUCAUUAUCAAAAUCAUGUGGAAUGAGAUCAAUUGUUUGCAACUCAAUGGUAGAUUCUAAUGAAAGUGGUGCUGCUAUUGGACUUGCAAUUACUGUAGCUUUAUUGAUGAUUCUAUUAACUAUUAGUCUUGUUGUCCAUGUCUACUGUUUCAUAAAAUUAAUGUACCCCACUAUUAUUGCAACACAAAGAAAUAAAUCCACUGCUAAAGAUGAAAAUAAAAUUAUUGAAGACA